rnacentral:misc_RNA from 1 species
UCCGGUUUGUCACCGGCAGUCUCCAUAGAGUGCCCUUGCGUAGCAACUAUGGACAAGGGUUGCGCUCGUUGCGGGACUUAACCCAACAUCUCACGACACGAGCUGACGACAGCCAUGCAGCACCUGUGUUCCAGUUCCCUUUCAGGCACAGCCCCCUCUCAGGGGCCUUCCGGACAUGUCAAGGGUAGGUAAGGUUUUUCGCGUUGCAUCGAAUUAAUCCACAUAAUCCACCGCUUGUGCGGGUCCCCGUCAAUUCCUUUGAGUUUUAACCUUGCGGCCGUACUCCCCAGGCGGUCAACUUCACGCGUUAGCUUCGUUACUAAGGAAGUUUCCUUCCCCAACAACCAGUUGACAUCGUUUAGGGCGUGGACUAC